GACGAACGCUGGCGGCGUGCUUAACACAUGCAAGUCGAACGGCAAGGCCCUGCUUUUGUGGGGUGCUCGAGUGGCGAAUGAGUGAGUCACAAGUGACUAACCUGCCCUUGACUUCGGGAUAUCUACACGACACUGGGGACCAUACCGGCUAGGAGCUCCUGCUGCAUGGUGGGGGUGGGAAAGUUUCGGCGGUUGGGGAUGGGCUCGCGGCUUAUGAGCUUGUAGGUGGGGUAGUGGCUUACCAAGGCUUUGACGAGUAGCCGGCCUUUGGGGGUGACCGGCCACAUUGGGAGGGAGGUGCGGCCCAGACUACUACGGCGGGCAGCAGUGGGGAAGAUUGCACAAUAGUCGGAGGACGGAUGCAGGAACGCCGCGUGGGGGAUGACGACGUUCGAGUUGUAGUCCGCUUUCGCCUGUGACGAAGCGGAAGUGACGGUAAUGGGUAAAGAAGCACCGGCUAACUACGUG
rnacentral:rRNA from 1 species